GGUGUUUGAGUUCCAUUUGAAAGUGCGGGAGGCGGACAUCAUUGCUGAGACUCUGCAUAGGGAUCUACCAAAGCAAAGAGCUCAGGCUAAGAGCCCAUGAAAUAACAAUGUCUCACAAUCCAUGGCAUCUUGGAUCUGAUGAAAUACAGUAGUGCUUACCAAGCCCAAGGCAUCGUUCGUCUCGGCCUCACCACCACCCUGGGAGGAUAAGUACUAUUCUUUUCCACACUUCACAGCACCUGGCUCUGGGAGGCCUUCUCCUCAUCCUACACCUGGAUCCAGAGGAUGUUUGUGCCAAAGGAAAGGACAGCAGGUUAUUAUGCGGACAACGAAGCUUUCAACGAAGACAGCACACCACCGAGCCUUGCUUUCAGACCCAAAGCUUCCAAAACUGAGCAUCAGGUUACCUGCCCUGAAAAGAAGCUAUUUUAUCAGAUAACCAAUGCUAAGCUUCCCUCCCCCCCACCCCAUCAGCUAGCAGCUUAUCUGGAAUGCAUUUUAGAAAGACUGAUGGCCCUGUUGGACUCAAAGAAGCCACCCCCAAAAAAAUUGUAUAAAAAGAUUUAUUGAAAUUUAUCAAUGACAAACAGACAUAAAACUCAAAAGUUUGGCUCUUCUGAGGGGGGAGGAGAGAAACCGGUGCAGAUGUUCUUUUAUACAGAUGAAACACGGGCUAGGAAAUCACACGUCACUUCUAAAGCAAUCCAGAAGAGGGACAUGAAAGCAAACCUGUACAUUCACUAGGAAUUUGCAGUCAUUUCAGAUUUCCACUAGGUAAGAAAAUACAAUUUUGCGUUAGUUUUUCCGUGCUCGGGCGUAUGAAAAACAAACCCAGCCGACAUGCAGCAGCGGCUCCCGCACUCAGGCCUGUAAAAAACGGUCUCAGCACAGAAGUACACGUGGAGGGGUUCUCUUGUCAUUUCGUAAAACAAAGCGCUCUAGUAUUUUACAGAACAAGAUAGGACACUUUUUUUUGUUUGUUUUGUUUUUUAAAUCUUUUAAAGAGGUUGACGUUUGAGGGUUUGCCUCUUUUCUUUUCAUUAGAAUUACCAAUUCCAUUUUACUCCUAACUCCUAAGCCUGCUCUUUCCAGCUCUCUGGCUCAUAGCUCUGAAGAGUGACAUCAGAGUCUUCUUCGGAGAGCAAAGCCCACCACCAUCUGUGAAGGAGGAAAGAAACGAGAGACGGGGAUUUUCCCCCAACCAGUGCCAAAAAUACGCCUUUAGGUUGCUAUUUACACACCAGGGCGUUGAGUGCCUCUAGCAGGCCCAAGAAAUGCAGGACUCACAGGAACCCGAACAAGGGGCAAGACGUGGGCUGGUGCUCAGCCCCUCUGGGGCUUUUGAGAAACCAAGGGGAGGCCAGCCAUGGCCUUGCAACCAAUUCGAGAGACUCGGGAUAUGCCAGGAAACGUGAGAGCCCUCCAAACCGUCCUCUCUGAGUGAGGAACAAACGCUCACUUGGUGUGUACUCAGCUAUCGCGUUUACAGGGACAAAACCAGACACAGAGAAAAAGGAGGGGAAAAAAAUUAAGAGUGGCAGUAAAAAUAGUACUUUAUUCCGCUCCCU